rnacentral:rRNA from 1 species
UUAAAUUGAAGAGUUUGAUCAUGGCUCAGAUUGAACGCUGGCGGCAGGCCUAACACAUGCAAGUCGAGCGGAAACGAGUUAUCUGACCCUUCGGGGGACGAUAACGGCGUCGAGCG